UACUCUGUCUGAACAGAAAUGGAGUACUCGAAUGAGAAUUUUUACAGAGUUUCGAGAUAGAAUUUUGAGCUUAGAGAGAACGUAUCUAGAGGUCCCUUUUUAUAGACGGAGAGCGUAACUGAUUGACAGCGACUUUUGUAACCACCCGGUAGUGGGCCGUUCAGGGCCACACAGAGUUUGUUACGGAGAGUAGUGGCGUCAGGGACCGUUCAGGGCGAUGUGGAGUUUGUUACGAAGAGUAAAGUGGUGUCUGUUGUCGCAACUUGCCAGAGAGUGGUGGGGCCACACGGAAUCCAUUACAGAGAGUGGAGUAGAGUAGUGGCCAUUGUCGUGACUUGUCGGAG
rnacentral:lncRNA from 1 species